UACGGAGGGAGCUAGCGUUGUUCGGAAUUACUGGGCGUAAAGCGCACGUAGGCGGCUUUGUAAGUUAGAGGUGAAAGCCUGGAGCUCAACUCCAGAACUGCCUUUAAGACUGCAUCGCUUGAAUCCAGGAGAGGUGAGUGGAAUUCCGAGUGUAGAGGUGAAAUUCGUAGAUAUUCGGAAGAACACCAGUGGCGAAGGCGGCUCACUGGACUGGUAUUGACGCUGAGGUGCGAAGGCGUGGGGAGCAAACAGG
rnacentral:rRNA from 1 species